rnacentral:rRNA from 1 species
AACGAACGCUGGCGGCAUGCCUAACACAUGCAAGUCGAACGAAGUCUUCGGACUUAGUGGCGCACGGGUGCGUAACGCGUGGGAAUCUGCCCUUGGGUGCGGAAUAACUUCUCGAAAGGGAUGCUAAUACCGCAUAAUGUCGUAAGACCAAAGAUUUAUCGCCCAAGGAUGAGCCCGCGUAAGAUUAGCUAGUUGGUGGGGUAAAAGCCUACCAAGGCGACGAUCUUUAGCUGGUCUGAGAGGAUGAUCAGCCACACUGGGACUGAGACACGGCCCAGACUCCUACGGGAGGCAGCAGUGGGGAAUAUUGGACAAUGGGCGAAAGCCUGAUCCAGCAAUGCCGCGUGAGUGAUGAAGGCCCUAGGGUUGUAAAGCUCUUUUGCCAGGGAAGAUGAUGACUGUACCUGGAGAAUAAGCCCCGGCUAACUUCGUGCCAGCAGCCGCGGUAAU